GGUUAUCGCUCCCGCAGCCUAGAGAAGUUGGAGACGCCCAAGUCCCCACGGAAGGCCCACAGCUAUGUCGUCUGGGGACGCAAGGUCUGGUAGACAGGACGAGGCCCCGAGCGCGGCCUCAGCGCUCUGUGGCCUGUACCACGAGGCAGGCCAGCAACUACAGCUCCUGAAGGAUCAGCUGGCUGCGCGUGACGCCCUUAUCGCGAGCCUCCGCACCCGCCUCGCGGCUCUGGAAGGGCACACGGCACCAUCACUUGUGGACGCACUUCUGGAUCAGGUGGAGCGCUUCCGUGAGCAGCUGCGGCGACAGGAGGAUGGUGCCUCGGAGUCCCAACUGCGGCAGGAAGUUGAAAGACUUACUGAGUGUCUAGAAGAAAAAGAGAGGGAGAUGCAGCAGCUGAUGAGCCAGCCUCAGCAUGAGCAAGAGAAGGAGGUGGUCUUGCUUCGGAGAAGUGUGGUAGAGAAGGAAAAAGCCAGGGCGGCCAGUGACAUUCUGUGCCGCUCCUUGACUGAUGAGACCCACCAACUGCGCAGGACAUUGGCUGCCACUGCCCACAUGUGCCAACAUCUGGCCAAAUGUCUGGAUGAGCGACAACGUGUGCAGGGAGACGCUGGGGAGAAAAGCCCUGCUGAGCUAGAGCAUACAAGCAGGGAUACCUCUGGCCAGAGUGUUAUUAAGAAGUUACAGGAAGAAAAUCGACUGUUAAAACAGAAGGUGAUUCAUGUGGAAGACCUCAAUGCCAAGUGGCAGCGUUAUGAUGCAAGUAGGGAUGAAUACGUGAAGGGGUUACAUGCACAGCUGAAGAGGCGGCAGGUUCCUCUUGAGCCUGAGCUUAUGAAGAAGGAGAUUUCCCGGCUUAACAGACAGUUGGAGGAGAAAAUAAGUGACUGUGCCGAAGCAAAACAGGAGCUGGCAGCCGUGAAGAUGGCCCGGGACACUGCGCUGGAGCGAGUGCAGAUGCUGGAGCAGCAGGUGUCCUCAGGCUCUGAGCAGCCCUGACCAGGAUGUCUGCCUGUUUACACCACAGGCAGUGGCUGCAGUCUUGGGACAGCCUAGGCUAAAUGUUUGGUGGAACUGGGUGGGAUACAGUUAUAGAACAUUGGGAGAAGGCAGGUAAGGAUUUUCUCCUCCCUUGAAUACAAAUGAAUAUUCUGUCUUUUCUCAGAUUCUUGCUUACAAGGAUGACUUCAAAUCAGAAAGGGCAGAUCGGGAACGAGCUCAUAGUAGGAUUCAGGAGCUGGAGGAAAAGGUCAUGUCCUUGAUGUACCAAGUUUCCCAGAGACAGGACUCCCGGGAGCCAGGACCCUGUCGGAUUCAUACGGGGAGCAAAACUGCCAAGUACUUAGAGAUGGAUGCACUGGAGCAUGUGGCGCCGGGCGGCUGGAGGCCUGAGUCUAGGUCCCAACAGAUGGAACCUUCUGCAGAGGGUGGGCAUGUCUGUACAACCCAGAGAGGUCAGGGUGAUCUUCAGUGUCCUCAUUGCCUGCGGUGUUUCAGUGAUGAGCAAGGCGAGGCAUUCCUCAGGCACCUUUCUGAGUGCUGCCAAUGAGCCAGAGACACCAUGCCUGUGUGACCCAUGACCAGCAACUCAGUGUGUUGCAUUCUCCUGAGAUCUAGGGCCCAAAUAGGCAGGGUCACUGGUCAGAGGGAACUAUUGACAGAGCAGGAGGAAGAGAUGGGGUCAGGGGCAUCAAGCUGGAUGCUUGUGGAACAUCUCAUGCGGAAUCUGGACCGAGCUGUCAAUUCAAAGCUGCAAGCUAUCUGUUGUGGGAGUAUUCUGACUUGCUUGCACCUAAAGUUGUGCUACUUGCUGGAAGGGGAAGUUGCUGUGGGAGCAGCGUGUCCUCUCUCCAGGGUGGUAGCUCCAUCCUGUUGAGUAGGUAGGUGUCUUAUUCCCUGACUGGUCUGUGAGCACUACAGUUACAUGGUACACUAGAACCUUCCCAAACACAGCAGAGCCACACAGCUGUAUCCAGUACCAUCACCUUGCAAGAACACUUGUAUUUCCAAAGGGAAUGCACCUUUAUUUCCUAAUCAUUUACUUUUAUAAUAAAUGGAUUUACUACUGUGCUGCUCUGA